rnacentral:rRNA from 1 species
AGGACGAACGCUGGCGGCGUGCUUAACACAUGCAAGUCGAGCGGAAAGGCCUUUCGGGGUACUCGAGCGGCGAACGGGUGAGUAACACGUGAGUAAUCUGCCCAUCGCUUCAGGAUAGCCAUCGGAAACGGUGAUUAAUACUGGAUAUGACAUUCCUUCGCAUGUUGGGGUGUGGAAAGUUUUUUCGGCGGUGGAUGUGCUCGCGGCCUAUCAGCUUGUUGGUGGGGUAAUGGCCUACCAAGGCUUUGACGGGUAGCCGGCCUGAGAGGGUGACCGGCCACACUGGGACUGAGACACGGCCCAGACUCCUACGGGAGCAGCAGUGGGGAAUAUUGGACAAGUGGGCGGAAGCCUGAUCCAGCAACGCCGCGUGAGGGAUGACGGCCUUC